CGUAGGUGGCAAGCGUUGUCCGGAAUUAUUGGGCGUAAAGAAUGCGUAGGCGGCUUUUUAAGUGGGAUGUGAAAUCCCUGGGCUCAACCCAGGAACUGCAUUCCAAACUGGAAGGCUAGAGUGUGGGAGAGGAAAAUGGUAUUCCCAGUGUAGCGGUGAAAUGCGUAGAGAUUGGGAGGAACACCAGUAGCGAAGGCGAUUUUUCUGGAACAUAACUGACGCUGAGGCAUGAAAGCGUGGGGAGCAAGCAGGAUUAGAUACCCUGGUAGUCCACGCCGUAAACGAUGAGUACUAGGUGUAGGGGGGUACCACCCCCUGUGCCGCAGUUAACACAUUAAGUACUCCGCCUGGGAAGUACGAUCGCAAGAUUA
rnacentral:rRNA from 1 species